rnacentral:pre_miRNA from 1 species
UAAAGUGCUUAUAGUGCAGGUAGUUUUCUCAGGGUCUACUGCAGUAUGAGCACUUCUAGU